ACUUGAGCCCAGCAACUUAAACAACUCUUUGCCUUUGAAGAGUACCCCCAGAUAAAAAAAAAAUGGCAUCACUCAGUUCUCAGAUACCUGCCGCUACUCAACCACUUGCACCCUGCAUGUGUGGCCGGUGCAAGGUGAUCACCGGCACACUCACACCGAAAGCCGCUCAUACCUCCAAGCUAACCUCUGGCAAGAAGGGAGCAAAAGCGAAGUAAGCAUGCAGCCGAUGAAAAAGUAGAAUAAACAAGGAAGACAAGGCUUGGGUUUGAAGGGUUCAAUUCAUGCCAGUCUGCCUCAAUGCUUACUAAUUAUAUGACAGAAGCUACUUGUCUAUAUAUCCAUGUGGCCGGACUCCUAAAAUAAAAAUAAAAUAUUAGCUUCUAUUUUUAAUAUUGAUGA